CCUACAGGAUAAUCCUGUUACCUAUAGCAGAACACUGUUAUAUUUAUGGCAAAGAGAAGGGGCUAAGUUAAUGUUUCUCUGUUAAUCAGGUCUUUUGGAUUUUGAGUAGAAUGCCUAAACAGUCUAAUACCGAAAAUUAUACCAGUGACUGCUAUUCCUGCGCUACGCUUACCCUAAUGCAGUAAGACGCUUACACAGCCAACACAGACACAUUCAGCGACGGAAAGAUAUGUUGAAAUUAUAUGUCAUUUUACAUCGCACUCGUAUUGGAAAAAGAAAGGUAAUAUGUACAGGGACAUUUUCCAAGGCCAUGGGUUUGAGUUUGAGUCUCGAGUAUUUCACAUUAUGCCAAAAAGUAAGUUUUGUUUUAUGUUUAAUAAUUGAGGCGAGUUUUUGAACUGAAA